UACGAAGGGGGCUAGCGUUGCUCGGAAUCACUGGGCGUAAAGGGUGCGUAGGCGGGUCUUUAAGUCAGAGGUGAAAUCCUGGAGCUCAACUCCAGAACUGCCUUUGAUACUGAGGAUCUUGAGUUCGGGAGAGGUGAGUGGAACUGCGAGUGUAGAGGUGAAAUUCGUAGAUAUUCGCAAGAACACCAGUGGCGAAGGCGGCUCACUGGCUCGAUACUGACGCUGAGGUGCGAAAGCGUGGGGAGCAAACAGG
rnacentral:rRNA from 1 species